rnacentral:rRNA from 1 species
GACGAACGCUGGCGGCGUGCUUAACACAUGCCAGUCGAACGGAAAGGCCCUGCUUUUGUGGGGUUCUCGAGUGGCGAACGGGUGAGUAACACGUGAGUAACCUGCCCUUGACUUUGGGAUAACUUCAGGAAACUGGGGCUAAUACCGGAUAUGAGCUCCUGCUGCAUGUUGGGGGUUGGAAAGUUUCGGCGGUUGGGGAUGGACUCGCGGCUUAUCAGCUUGUUUGUGGGGUAGUGGCUUACCAAGGCUUUGACGGGUAGCCGGCCUGAGAGGGUGACCGGCCACAUGGGGACUGAGAUACGGCCCAGACUGCUACGGGAGGCAGCAGGGGGGAAUAUUGCACAAUGGGCGGAAGCCUGAUGCAGCAACGCCGCGUGCGGGAUGACGGCCUUCGGGUUGUAAACCGCUUUCGCCUGUGACGAAGCGUGAGUGACGGUAAUGGGUAAAGAAGCACCGGCUAACUACGUG